rnacentral:rRNA from 1 species
CGAGCGCCACCUUCGGGUGGAGCGGCGGACGGGUUAGUAACGCGUGGGAACGUACCCGUUACUAAGGAAUAGCCAUUGGAAACGAUGAGUAAUACCUUAUACGCCCUUCGGGGGAAAGAUUUAUCGGUAAAGGAUCGGCCCGCGUUAGUUUAGAUAGUUGGUGGGGUAAUGGCCUACCAAGUCUACGAUCUAUAGCUGGUUUGAGAGGAUGAUCAGCAACACUGGGACUGAGACACGGCCCAG